UACGUAGGGGGCAAGCGUUGUCCGGAAUCAUUGGGCGUAAAGAGCGCGUAGGCGGCCCAGUAAGUCCGCUCUGAAAGUCAGGGGGCUCAACCCCUGAAUGCGGGUGGAUACUGCUGGGCUAGAGUCCGGAAGAGGCGAGUGGAAUUCCUGGUGUAGCGGUGAAAUGCGUAGAUAUCUGGAGGAACACCGGUGGCGAAGGCGGCAUCCUGGACCGAGAUUGACGCUGAGGCGCGAAAGCCAGGGGAGCAAACGGG
rnacentral:rRNA from 1 species